GGUUCUAGUCUGGUAUCUAACGCAGGGUUCUAGUCUGGUAUCUGAUGCAGGGUUCUAGUCUGGCAUCUAACGCAGGGUUCUAGUCUGGUAUCUGACGCUGGGUUCUAGGUUCUAGUCUGGUAUCUGACGCCGGGUUCUAGUCUGGUAUCUGACGCAGGGUUCUAGGUUCUAGUCUGGUAUCUGACGCCGGGUUCUAGUCUGGUAUCUGACACCGGGUUCUAGUUUUUAGUCUGGCAUCUAACGCUGGGUUCUAGUUUCUGGUCUGGUAUCUGACGCUGGGUUCUAGUCUGGUAA